UACGAAGGGGGCUAGCGUUGCUCGGAAUCACUGGGCGUAACGCGCACGUAGGCGGCUUUCUAAGUCAGGGGUGAAAUCCUGGAGCUCAACUCCAGAACUGCCUUUGAUACUGGAGAGCUUGAGUCCGGAAGAGGUGAGUGGAACUCCGAGUGUAGAGGUGAAAUUCGUAGAUAUUCGGAAGAACACCAGUGGCGAAGGCGGCUCACUGGCCCGGUACUGACGCUGAGGUGCGAAAGCGUGGGGAGCAAACAGG
rnacentral:rRNA from 1 species